UAUUCUCAUGUAUAAAUAGAUGUAGUAUCUUUAUAAAUAAGACAGUAUACAUAUAUACAAUCUUUUUCUAUCAUCACUUGUAUUUUUUCUGCUAAUAUGGUAUCAGAGCCUUAAGGCUUUUAUUCUUAGUUUCUGGGGUCUCUCUUCUCUCUCUACAACCUGUUCUGGUUCAUUCUUUCAUUCCUAUUAUUAUACCACUUUUUCUCCUCAUCUUGUUAUCAA
rnacentral:misc_RNA from 1 species